rnacentral:rRNA from 1 species
UACGAGGGGUCCUAGCGUUGUUCGGAAUCAUUGGGCGUAAAGCGGGUGUAGGCGGACUAGUAAGUCAGAAGUGAAAGCCCUGGGCUCAACCCAGGAAGUGCUUUUGAAACUACUAGUCUUGAGUGUGAGAGAGGAAAGUGGAAUUUCUGGUGUAGUGGUGAAAUACGUAGAUAUCAGAAGGAACAUCGGUGGCGAAGGCGACUUUCUGGCUCAUUACUGACGCUCAGACCCGAAAGCGUGGGUAGCAAACAGG